rnacentral:tRNA from 1 species
GGAAAUGUGCCUGAAUGCCAAAGGAUCACUAUGAUAAAGUGAAUAUAGAGGUACGCCAAUCCUCUCAUUUCCU